UACGGGGGGAGCAAGCGUUGUUCGGAUUUACUGGGCGUAAAGGGCGCGUAGGCGGCCACCGCAAGUCAGUUGUGAAAGCUCUGGGCUUAACCCAGAAAGGUCAACUGAUACUGCGGGGCUAGAGUGCAGAAGGGGCAACUGGAAUUCUCGGUGUAGCGGUGAAAUGCGUAGAUAUCGAGAGGAACACCUGCGGCGAAGGCGGGUUGCUGGGCUGAUACUGACGCUGAGGCGCGAAAGCCAGGGGAGCGAACGGG
rnacentral:rRNA from 1 species